UGGGGUGUAGAUUGGCCUGAGCAAAUGUGGUGCCGGUGGAACGAAAGCCUUUGGAGGAGUUAGCGAAAUUCCAAUGUGUGCGGAUCAGCAAAAAAUGCGAAAUAACCCUUUAACCGUACAUUUGACAGAUACACCCGCACUGACUUUUUUGUAGAUCUUAUUGAGAUACAUAUGUGUGUCAAUUUUUGUGUCAAUAUGACAAAGCGUACAGGCGUGACACUCAACAAUGUGUAUUUUCACCUUAGGGGACAAGAAAAAAUGGACUUUUUUCUCCUGCCAUGGGGGGGCGCUCUUUUGGGGAGUAAAAAUUCCUUCACAAAUGUGUUGAUGGCUGGACAUUGCAUCAUCCUAGAAAACUUGGAGGCCAGUGAGGACAAAAAUAAAAAGUUAUAAGACUUUUAAAUAUGUGGAUUUUAGUGUUAUUUUUGGCGCCCCCAAGAACGUAAACCGUGGGGUGCAGCGUCAUGAUUUGAAUAACUUUUAAUGGCCACGGGGUGUAGAUUGGCCUGAGAAAAUGUGGUGCCGGUGGAACGAAAGCCUUCGGAGGAGUUAGCGAAAUUCCAAUGUGUGCGGAUCGGCAAAAAAUGCGAAAUAACCCUUUAACCAUACAUUUGACAGAUACGCCUUUGUCGCCGACUUUUUUGUAGAUCUUAUUGAGAUACAUAUGUGUGUCAAUUUUUGUGUCAAUAUGACAAAGCGUACAGGCGUGACAGUCAAUAGUGUGAAUUUACACCUUAGGGGGCGCUAUGGAGCCAUUUUGCAUUUUAUUGUUUGGGCGACUUCAGAAUAUCGAAUUUUUCACCAGGCCCGGUCGUCCUGCCAAAUUUCAUGAGUUUUCGCCAGUGGGAAGUGGGCCAUUUUCCAGUUCAAAGGGGAGGAAAAAGAAGAACUAGGGCCCCGUUGGGGCACUGGCGGGCCCGAGCCGUGUCACGCCGCCCCCAGCGCGACCGCCUCCCCCACCCGAUCGCGUCACACUCAAGGUCCAAAGAUGGUGUGCGCACUUGUUUGUGGUCAUUUACCAUUAUAAUGAACGGGAGGCGCAGUUUCUACCAAAACGCUCGCUGCAGAAAAACUCCAUGUCCUAUUUGAAAAAAGUCUGGACCAUGAGUGAGGGCACAAACACAGCUAAGAUAUAUCCAAAUGGCAAGUUGCUCCUCCUUUCGCUUUUGCCGAGAGAGCAGUGCGUUUGAGCCAUUGAAUGAUGAACAGGAAAAACUUGACUUUAUUCUCCUGCCAUGGGGGGCGCUCUUUUAAAGAGAAAAAACUCCUUCACAAAUGUGUUGAUGGCUGGACAUUGCAUCAUCCUAGAAAACAUGGAGGCCAGUGAGGACAAAAAUAAAAAGUUAUAAGACUUUUAAAUAUGUGGAUUUUAGGGUUAUAUUUGGCGCCCCCUAGAACCUAAACCGUGGGGUGCAGCGUCAUGAUUUGAAUAACUUUUAAUGGCCAUGGGGUGUAGAUUGGCCUGAGGAAAUGUGGUGCCGGUGGAACGAAAGCCUUCGGAGGAAUUAGCGAAAUUCCAAUGUGUGCGAAUCUGCAAAAAAUGCGAAAUAACCCUUUAACCGUACAUUUUACAGAUACGUGGCCAUUGACUUUUUCGAAGAUCUUAUGUAAAUACACGUGUAUGUAAAAUUUUGUGUCAAUACGACAAAACAUACAGGCGUAGCACUCAACAAUGUGUAUUUUCACCUUAGUGGACAAGAAAAAAUUGACUUUUUUCUCCUGCCAUGGGGGGCGCUCUUUUGCCGAGUAAAAAUUCCUUCACAAAUGUGUUGAUGGCUGGACAUUGCAUCAUCCUAGAAAACUUGGAGGCCAGUGGGGACAAAAAUAAAAAGUUAUAAGACUUUUAAAUAUGUGGAUUUUACGGUUAUCUUUGGCUCCCCCUAGAACCUAAACCGUGGGGUGCAGCGUCAUGAUUUGAAUAACUUUUAAUGGCCAUGGGGUGUAGAUUGGCCUGAGCAAAUGUGGUGCCGGUGGAACGAAAGCCUUCGGAGGAGUUAGCGAAAUUCCAAUGUGUGCGGAUCGGCAAAAAAUGCGGAAUAACCCUUUAACCGUACAUUUGACAGAUAUGCGGCCAUUGACUUUUUCGUAGAUCUUAUUGAGAUACAUGUGUGUGUCAAUUUUUGUGUCAUUUUGCCAAAGCGUACAGGUGUUACACUCAACAAUGUGUAUUUUCACCUUAGGGGACAAGAAAAAAUGGACUUUUUUCUCCUGCCAUGGGGGGGCACUCUUUUGGGGAGAAAAAAUUCCUUCACAAAUGUGUUGAUGGCUGGACAUUGCAUCAUCCUAGAAAACUUGGAGGCCAGUGAGGGCAAAAAUAAAAAGUUAUAAGACUUUUAAAUAUGUGGAUCUUAGGGUUAUCUUUGGCGCCCCCUAGAACCUAAACCGUGGGGUGCAGCAUCAUGAUUUGAAUAACUUUUAAUGGCCAUGGGGUGUAGAUUGGCCUGAGCAAAUGUGGUGCCGGUGGAACGAAAGCCUUCGGAGGAGUUAGCGAAAUUCCAAUGUGUGCGGAUCGGCAAAAAAUGCGAAAUAACCCUUUAACCGUACAUUUGACAGAUACGCCCGCACUGACUUUUUUGUAGAUCUUAUUGAGAUACAUGUGUGUGUCAAUUUUUGUGUCAUUUUGACAAAGCGUACAGGCGUGACAGUCAAUAGUGUGAAUUUUCACCUUAGGGGGCGCUAUGGAGCCAUUUUGCAUUUUCUUGUUUGGGCGACUUCGGAAUAUCAAAUUUUUCACCAGGCCCGGUCGUCCUGCCAAAUUUCAUGAGUUUUCGCCAGUGGGAAGUGGGCCAUUUUCCAGUUCAAAGGGGAGGAAAAAUAAUAACUAGGACCCCGUUGGGGCACUGGCGGGCCCGAGCUGUGUCGCGUCCCCCCCCCAACGCGCUGCCUCCCCGUCCCAUUUGUGUCCUCUGGCCAUCGCCCUCUCUGGUAACGCCCAUCACUGCAAAGACCCUUUUCCUUCAUCGGCGUUUGCUGUUCUUCCUGCCAGUGCGUGUUGCUUUCACUUACACUUGCCACAGCCAGCCUCUUGAGUGCCUAGCCUAUUGGAUAUCACUGUCACCUACUCAGGACAGUCAUUACCUUUCUAUUAAUACUUUGUUUUUUAAUUUCACAUUAAUUCCCAUAUUGUAUAAACAACUGGAAAAAACUUGAGCCCCUGCCCCUGUAUAAUCAUGUGCACGUCUCUGUUCUAGCUCUAAGGUGAAUCUUCACUGCUCAUGUUCUCCUCAGAAGCAGUCACCUCACUCCCCUCAGGUUACUGUACACAUGCACCAACUGCCUGCUUCAGGUUUGGAUGGAGCUUCAUGGUUGUCUUUUGGAGAAAUGACCAGUCAAGUUGUGUUUGAAAUUUGAUUUUUUUCAGGGGCAAAAGGAGCCUCUGCAUUCUUGUCAAAUAUGUAAAUAGCAUGUUUUUGCAGGUGCUAAAAACCAGACUCUGAGUGUGUGUGUGUGUGCGUGUGUGUGUGUGUCUGUGUGUGUGUGUGUGUGUGUGUGUGUGUGUGUGUGUGUGUGUGUGUGUGUGUGUGUGCGUUCAAGUCACAUGACAUAUUUAACCGGAUGUAGCUGACAGAGCUGCAGCAGUUAGCAGGUUUCACCCUCAGAGACCACCAGGGGUUCAUGUUGAGGCAUUUUCAGUUUUUUUUUUUUUUUUUUGCCAUAGACACUGUCAGCACAAUCUGCAGUUACACUAACAAAAAUGCUGCAAAAAACAAAGAAUUAUGGAAAAAUUACACAUGGACUAACAUAGAGGAGGAUCUACACAAGUUUUUUACAUCAUGUUUUACAUCAUGCAUCAUUUACAUCAUGUUUUUUUGUAGUGGCAUAAAUAAAAAGUGACAUUUGUGAGACUAUACAGUGUUUUGUAAAUAAUUUUACAAAGAACACCUGGGCCAUUGCCUGCAUUUUGAUGUAAAUAGAGGUAAAUUACUAUGUUCUUUGUUAAAAAUUUGCAUAUGUUUUGAAGUUUACAAUUUUUAUUUGAAGUUUAAGUUUUAAAAACAGUUCAUCACACAUAUUUGUGGUUUUCACAGUAAAAACGUUACUUUUUUCCACUCGGAUUUUAUGUUUUGUGUGUGAAUUUGGGUCCAAUGUGUAAAUAUAGUAUGUCAAAAUGAUAAAAUAACUGUAAAUUGACACAGGUGAGGUUGUGCUGAAAAAAAUGAUACCAGGCAAGGCAAGGUAAAAAUUUUGUGAGAGGAAAUAUAAAGGUAAAAUCUAAAGUAGUCAAAAACGGCCAAUAGUGACUCACAGACUCCACAGACAAGUCCCUUUGGCGCCACUCAGUGGGCAAAACUACUUUGUCUACUGUAAUGUAUAUUUGGGUCAUCUUUGGCGCCCCCUAAAACGUAAACCGUGGGGUGCAGCGUCAUGAUUUUUACAACUUUGAAUGGCCAUGGAGUGUAGAUUGGCCUGAGCAAAUUUGGUGUCAGUGGGACGAAAGCCUUAGGAGGAGUUAGCGAAAUUCCAAUGUGUGCGAAUCGGCAAAAAAUGCAAAAUAGCCCUUUUACCGUACAUUAUACAGAUACGCGCUCUUUGACUUUUUCGUAGAUCUAAUUGAGAUACACAUGAUUGUCAAUUUUUGUGUCAUUUUGCCAAAGCGUACAGGCGUGACAGUCAACAAUGUGUAUUUUCACCUUAGGGGACAAGAAAAAAUGGACUUUUUUCUCCUGCCAUGGGGGGGCGCUCUUUUAGGGAGUAAAAAUUCCUUCACAAAUGUGUUGAUGGCUGGACAUUGCAUCAUCCUAGAAAACUUGGAGGCCAGUGGGGACAAAAAUAAAAAGUUAUAAGACUUUUAAAUAUGUGGAUUUUACGGUUAUCUUUGGCUCCCCCUAGAACCUAAACCGUGGGGUGCAGCGUCAUGAUUUGAAUAACUUUUAAUGGCCAUGGGGUGUAGAUUGGCCUGAGCAAAUGUGGUGCCGGUGGAACGAAAGCCUUCGGAGGAGUUAGCGAAAUUCCAAUGUGUGCGGAUCGGCAAAAAAUGCGGAAUAACCCUUUAACCGUACAUUUGACAGAUACGCGCGCAUUGACUUUUUCGUAGAUCUUAUUGAGAUACAUGUGUGUGUCAAUUUUUGUGUCAUUUUGCCAAAGCGUACAGGUGUUACACUCAACAAUGUGUAUUUUCACCUUAGGGGACAAGAAAAAAUGGACUUUUUUCUCCUGCCAUGGGGGGGCGCUCUUUUGGGGAGUAAAAAUUCCUUCACAAAUGUGUUGAUGGCUGGACAUUGCAUCAUCCUAGAAAACUUGGAGGCCAGUGAGGGCAAAAAUAAAAAGUUAUAAGACUUUUAAAUAUGUGGAUCUUAUGGUUAUCUUUGGCGCCCCCUAGAACCUAAACCGUGGGGUGCAGCGUCAUGAUUUGAAUAACUUUUAAUGGCCAUGGGGUGUAGAUUGGCCUGAGCAAAUGUGGUGCCGGUGGAACGAAAGCCUUCGGAGGAGUUAGCGAAAUUCCAAUGUGUGC